rnacentral:misc_RNA from 1 species
CCAAUAGCGUAUAUUAAAGUUGUUGCAGUUAAAAAGCUCGUAGUUGAAUUUCGGGGUUAGUAGGUUGGUCAUACCUCUGGUAUGUACUGGUCUCACUGAUUCCUCCUUCCUGAUGAGCCGUAAUGCCAUUAAUUUGGUGUUGCGGGGAAUUUGGACUGUUACUUUGAAAAAAUUAGAGUGUUUAAAGCAAGCUAACGCUUGAAUACAUUAGCAUGGAAUAAUGAAAUAGGACGUUCGAUCCUAUUUUGUUGGUUUCUAGGAUUGACGUAAUGAUUAAUAGGGAUAGUUGGGGGCAUUAGUAUUCAAUUGUCAGAGGUGAAAUUCUUGGAUUUAUUGAAGACUAACUACUGCGAAAGCAUUUGCCAAGGAUGUUUUCAUUAAUCAAGAACGAAAGUUAGGGGAUCGAAGACGAUCAGAUACCGUCGUAGUCUUAACCAUAAACUAUGCCGACUAGGGAUCGGAUGAUGUUAAUUUUUUAAUGACUCAUUCGGCGCCUUACG